UAAAUCUCAGGGCAGAUAUUCGUUCGAC
rnacentral:sRNA from 1 species